rnacentral:rRNA from 1 species
UACGGGGGGGGCAAGCGUUGUUCGGAAUUACUGGGCGUAAAGGGCUCGUAGGCGGCCUAUUAAGUCGGACGUGAAAUCCCUCGGCUUAACCGGGGAACUGCGUCUGAUACUGGUUGGCUUGAAUCCGGGAGAGGGAUGUGGAAUUCCAGGUGUAGCGGUGAAAUGCGUAGAUAUCUGGAGGAACACCGGUGGCGAAGGCGGAAUCCUGGACCGGUAUUGACGCUGAGGAGCGAAAGCCAGGGGAGCAAACGGG